rnacentral:rRNA from 1 species
AUUGAACGCUGGCGGCAGGCUUAACACAUGCAAGUCGAACGAGUGGCGGACGGGUGAGUAAUGCUUGGGAAUCUCGCUCAUGGAGGGGGAUAACUACGGGACACCGUAGCUAAUACCGCGUACCAUUGGAUGAGCCCAACUGGGAUUAGGUAGUUGGUGAGGUAAAGUAUCACCAAGCCGACGAUCACUAGCUGGUCUGAGAGGAUGACCAGCCACACUGGGAGUGAGACACGGCCCAGACUCCUACGGGAGGCAGCAGUGGGGAAUAUUGCGCAAUGGGGGCAACCUGCAGCAGCCAUGCCGCGUGAAUGAAGAAGGCCUUCGGGUUGGAAAGUUCUUUCGGUAGCGAGGCGUUAACUACAGAAGAAGCACCGGCUAACUCCGUGCCAGCAGCCGCGGUAAUAC